UUCCACUUCCAAGCGACGACUGAUUGGUGGCGCCAUCUAACGACCGAGUCCCAAACUUCGUAGCUAAGCCUGUGUCACACGAGGCAACGUUUCCGGAUUCGUUACAAUACGCGGAUCGAUCCGUUUUAUCUUUUUUUCGGAAGAUAUAGUGAGAAAUGAAAAAGUGUAUAUUGGCAUUUUAUUGCACGAUAAAUACUACUGGACCCCUCUCUAUUGGAUCGAUGGAAUUUUUUCACGGAAAGUGGAGAUUUCUUACUUCGAGAAUUCAGGUCAACUAAGAUGAUACAAAGAAGCCAAGUUUUUUUUUAAACAGUGGAAUAAUGAUGUUAUUAUUAGCAAGUUAAAUAAAAAAUUCAUUAUGGAAUAAAUAAA